UACUUGAUAACUCGAGGAUAAAUAUUAUGGACACAUGUUUGAAAACAUAUGGAUAAAGUUCUCAGAAAAUGAAAAUUCACAAUGUGAUAAAUAGCAUUAACAAGCCAUAUAAUUAAAAUCUAAGUUUCAUUAUUUGCUAAGCCUGGCUUCCAAUUAUGAAACUGGAUGGAAUGAAAACCUGGUGCCUCUGCAGACCUCCGGGACUGGAGUUGAGUACCCCUGCUCUAGACUUCAAUGCCACACAGUCUUUGACACUUUUCACUUAAAAUAAAUAACAUAUUCAGACAAUUCUUAGUAGAACACAAAAGCACAUGUUAACAAGGUACUUUUUACUUAUAACACAGUAGGCUUUUUUAACAUUGAAAAGGAAUAAAGCAUCUUUGUAGAAGUCCUCAGUCACAGUAAUUAAGGUCUUAGGUUAAAGACCUCAAGUUGAAUUGUAAUUCACUUCAAGAUAAGUUCUGCUCCUUCCUGCUACAGUUCCAAGCUCUGUUUGUAAAACAACUGUGUGGAUUGUUGUACUGCGGCAGUGUACUUCGGAUGGUUUUCACUGUAGAAAGGUGCCAGAUGAAAUAAAAGAUUUUACUUGUACAUUUGAUUUCCUUUUUAAAAGACCAAAUAUGUCAUCAAUGAAAUAUUUUCUAUGGUAAAAUAAUAUAAUUUAAUAUUCCCUUUUCUUACAAAGCUUAUUUUCAAUAAUUUCGAUUUCUUAAAGAAUUUUCCAGUAGCAGUUAUGUAAUGGGGCCAGUAAGCCACAAACAAUCCCUAAUAAUGACAGGCAUUUGGUUGUCUUUGGUUCUCUACUGCACUUCCUUCCCACGAGUGAGGUGUCGCGUUUUCAUUUGAAUUGAUCUGCUGGAUGUCAGACUCGUUCUCAUAUACUGUAUUUACUUCUGGGGCACCUUGGCCGUUAUAACUUUUAUGUUUUUUCUGUGACAUUAGAGAAAGCCAAGACAGAGACAUUAAUGAAUUAUGAAGGUUACACCUUGGUGGUGUGGUACGUAACAGGUCCAGGAGUCUGGAUUCAAUCCCUUAUGUCUGCCUCAGCCACUGGAAAGAAAAGGAAGAGUGUAGCAGUAGGGGGCGCUGUUGCUCCCUUGAACCCUCAGGUACCACGCCAAACACCAGUUUUAUUAGGGGGUUCACCCCCUGCUCGCUUCGCUUGCCAACCCCCUCAGGCCUGCGCUACGCUCCAACCACUUCACAUCCCUGCUGCUCGUGUUGUGAAGAGGGGGGCUGAAUGCACCCCAAGGAGAUGUGGUCGAUUCUACAAAGCCCCCUCUUAAAAGCACCGACAAGAUGCCCAGGGAGACAAUUGACUUCGCCCAUUUUGGUCUCCUGCCUUUAAAACCUGCCACUGCCCUUUUUAUCUCAUUGUGACUUUAUUAAAUGCUGACGACCGGGUUGGAGCUUCAACCUGCAGUUAUUCGACCACAAUGAGUUGCAGAAUAUUAUGCCUAUAAUUAAAUACAUUUGUGUCAAGAUACACUAGUGGGGCUCAUUUAUACCAACAGCACUAUGCCUGUAUAAUACUUCACUGCGACUGAGACUGCCACAUCUGAAGUUUUCGUUCUUUUUAAUUUUCUUGCAUUAUAGGAAUUCUGGGUCAUGGGGGUCUGCUGGAGCCAAUCCCAGCCAACACAG